GGAUUUAAAAAUUAAUUAAAUUUUAGGAUUCAUUUAAGGUCCAGUUAGAAUUUGACUUAGGAUUUAAGAAAAGACUACUAGGAUUUUAAUUAGGAUUAAAUUAAGAUUUGAUUGAAAUUAAUUUAAGAUAUAUUUUGGAUUUUACUUUAAUAUUUUAUUUAAAAUUCUUUAGAAUUUUUUCAUACUUAUUUUAUAAUUUCUUUGAAGUUCUUUGAUUUGAUU
rnacentral:lncRNA from 1 species